CAAUAGCGUACAUUAAAGUUCUUGCAGUUAAAAAGCUCGUAGUUGGAUUUCUGGUAGGAGUGACCGUUCUGAACUAGAUUGUUCGAGGAUUGUGUUUUCUCCAGCCAUCCUUUUGGAGAACUUUUCUCGCAUUAAUUUGUAGGGAUUGGGACCCGCAUCGUUUACUGUGAAAAAAGUAGAGUGUUUAAAGCAGGCAAACGCUUGAAUACAUUAGCAUGGAAUAAUAAGAUAGGACUUUGGUAUUAUUCUGUUGGUUUGCAUACCAAAUUAAUGAUCAACAGGAACAGUUUGUGGAUAUUCGUAUGAACAAGUCAGAGGUGAAAUUCUUGGAUUUUAAUCAGACGAACUACUGCGAAAGCAUUUAUCAAGGAUGUUUUCAUUAU
rnacentral:rRNA from 1 species